GCCGAGACUACGUGGAACAUUGAGAUGUUCAAAGCAGCGGAGCCGUUGGUUACUACAGUAGACCGUCCGUCCAUAUCUGCCAUGCCAGCUGUGGAACCGUUGGUUACUAAACUAGACCGUCCGUCUGUAUCUGCCGUGUCAGCUGGAGUUCCAUAGCUUUUUCUUUUCGCCGGCGUGUUUCCUUUUUAGAUACUGUGCUUUUUAUAGCUUGG
rnacentral:misc_RNA from 1 species